rnacentral:rRNA from 1 species
AUGGCGAACGGCGACACCUUCCCUCCCGGCGCCGGCAGGGACACUUUUCCCCAGGGUUUUCCCGCGGGGAUGAGGGUCCUUGUGGUGGAGGACGACCCCAGCAGCCUCCACGACUUGACACAAAUUCUUGAGAGCAGCGGCUACAAAGUGACAGCGAAGGCGUCGCCAAGAGAAGCGCUGAGAGUGGUGGAGCAGAGCCGAGAAGGAUUUGACUUCGACAUCGUCAUGACCGUCGUGCACGGCGACGACGGAGGAGCAGGAUUUGAUGGCUUCGACCUGCUCAAGCGCAUCCGAGGUCGUUACCCGGUCAUCACGUUCUCCAGUGACAACGCCGUGGAGAUGGUGAUGAGGACGAUCAAGAAGGGCGCCUGCUACUUCAUGUCCAAGCCCCUGCGCCACGAGGAGGUGCGCAACAUCUGGAUCCACGUCGUGAAGUGGAGGAGGGAGGAGGGAUCCGAGGUGGACGACCCCGACGAGGGGGGCUCCGACGGCAGCCAGCAGGGCUCCGAUGAAAUACAAGGUUUCCGGGUGCUGGUCUUAAGUGACGAGCGAAGCGUUGGCGUGGCGGCGAGUAGGCACGCAGUGGUGGGUAUGGCUCCUCGGCAUCGAUCGGCGUCGGCCUGGGCGUGGCCGUGCACGGCGUCGGCGUGGGCUGGCUGCUGGCCUCCUCAUUGUCCUCGUCGUGCACUCGCUUGGAGCUGGCCAUGUAUGGCUUCAGCACGCAUGAAAACCUAG